rnacentral:rRNA from 1 species
CGAGCGGUAGCACAGAGAGCUUGCUCUCGGGUGACGAGCGGCGGACGGGUGAGUAAUGUCUGGGAAACUGCCUGAUGGAGGGGGAUAACUACUGGAAACGGUAGCUAAUACCGCAUAACGUCGCAAGACCAAAGUGGGGGACCUUCGGGCCUCAUGCCAUCAGAUGUGCCCAGAUGGGAUUAGCUAGUAGGUGGGGUAACGGCUCACCUAGGCGACGAUCCCUAGCUGGUCUGAGAGGAUGACCAGCCACACUGGAACUGAGACACGGUCCAGACUCCUACGGGAGGCAGCAGUGGGGAAUAUUGCACAAUGGGCGCAAGCCUGAUGCAGCCAUGCCGCGUGUGUGAAGAAGGCCUUCGGGUUGUAAAGUACUUUCAGCGGGGAGGAAGGCGAUAAGGUUAAUAACCUUGUCGAUUGACGUUACCCGCAGAAGAAGCACCGGCUAACUCCGUGCCAGCAGCCGCGGUAAUACGGAGGGUGCAAGCGUUAAUCGGAAUUACUGGGCGUAAAGCGCACGCAGGCGGUCUGUCAAGUCGGAUGUGAAAUCCCCGGGCUCAACCUGGGAACUGCAUUCGAAACUGGCAGGCUAGAGUCUUGUAGAGGGGGGUAGAAUUCCAGGUGUAGCGGUGAAAUGCGUAGAGAUCUGGAGGAAUACCGGUGGCGAAGGCGGCCCCCUGGACAAAGACUGACGCUCA